UGUUUCUGAGUAAGCUCCCCAUGCGCA
rnacentral:piRNA from 1 species